GACGAACGCUGGCGGCGUGCUUAACACAUGCAAGUCGAACGGAAAGGCCCUGCUUUUGUGGGGUGCUCGAGUGGCGAACGGGUGAGUAACACGUGGGUAACCUGCCCUUGACUUUGGGAUAACUUCAGGAAACUGGGGCUAAUACCGGAUAGGAGCUCCUGCUGCUGGUGGGGGUUGGAAAGUUUCGGCGGUUGGGGAUGGACUCGCGGCUUAUCAGCUUGUUGGUGGGGUAGUGGCUUACCAAGGCUUUGACGGGUAGCCGGCCUGAGAGGGUGACCGGCCACAUUGGGACUGAGAUACGGCCCAGACUCCUACGGGAGGCAGCAGUGGGGAAUAUUGCACAAUGGGCGGAAGCCUGAUGCAGCAACGCCGCGUGCGGGAUGACGGCCUUCGGGUUGUAAACCGCUUUCGCCUGUGACGAAGCGUGAGUGACGGUAAUGGGUAAAGAAGCACCGGCUAACUACGUG
rnacentral:rRNA from 1 species